rnacentral:rRNA from 1 species
UGGGGAAUAUUGCACAAUGGGCGCAAGCCUGAUGCAGCCAUGCCGCGUGUAUGAAGAAGGCCUUCGGGUUGUAAAGUACUUUCAGCGGGGAGGAAGGGAGUAAAGUUAAUACCUUUGCUCAUUGACGUUACCCGCAGAAGAAGCACCGGCUAACUCCGUGCCAGCAGCCGCGGUAAUACGGAGGGUGCAAGCGUUAAUCGGAAUUACUGGGCGUAAAGCGCACGCAGGCGGUUGAUUGAGUCAGAUGUGAAAUCCCCGGGCUUAACCCGGGAAUUGCAUCUGAUACUGGUCAGCUAGAGUCGUGUAGAGGGGGGUAGAAUUCCAUGUGUAGCGGUGAAAUGCGUAGAGAUGUGGAGGAAUACCGGUGGCGAAGGCAGACCCCUGGACAAAGACUGACGCUCAGGUGCGAAAGCGUGGGGAGCAAACAGG